CGAUUAAACGCUGGCGGCAUGCCUUACACAUGCAAGUCGAACGGCAGCACGGGGGCAACCCUGGUGGCGAGUGGCGGACGGGUGAGUAAAGCAUCGGAACGUAUCCUGGAGUGGGGGAUAACGUAGCGAAAGUUACGCUAAUACCGCAUAUUCUGUGAGCAGGAAAGCAGGGGAUCGCAAGACCUUGCGCUCUGGGAGCGGCCGAUGUCGGAUUAGCUAGUUGGUGGGGUAAAGGCCUACCAAGGCGACGAUCCGUAGCGGGUCUGAGAGGAUGAUCCGCCACACUGGGACUGAGACACGGCCCAGACUCCUACGGGAGGCAGCAGUGGGGAAUUUUGGACAAUGGGCGCAAGCCUGAUCCAGCCAUGCCGCGUGAGUGAAGAAGGCCUUCGGGUUGUAAAGCUCUUUCGGCGGGGAAGAAAUUGCACGGGUUAAUACCCUGUGUAGAUGACGGUACCCGAAUAAGAAGCACCGGCUAACUACGUG
rnacentral:rRNA from 1 species